rnacentral:rRNA from 1 species
GACGAACGCUGGCGGCGUGCUUAACACAUGCAAGUCGAACGCGCCUGUCCUCUGGGUUUCUGGGGGGUGGGUGAGUGGCGAACGGGUGAGUAACACGUGAGUAACCUGCCCCCUUCUUCGGGAUAACGGUCUGAAAGGGCUGCUAAUACCGGGUAUUCACUGGUCUCCGCAUGGGGUCUGGUGGAAAGGUUUUUUUCUGGUGGGGGAUGGGCUCGCGGCCUAUCAGCUUGUUGGUGGGGUGAUGGCCCACCAAGGCUUUGACGGGUAGCCGGCCUGAGAGGGUGACCGGUCACAUUGGGACUGAGAUACGGCCCAGACUCCUACGGGAGGCAACAGUGGGGAAUAUUGCACAAUGGGCGCAAGCCUGAUGCAGCGACGCCGCGUGAGGGAUGGAGGCCUUCGGGUUGUGAACCUCUUUCGCCCGUGGUCAAGCCGCGACGUGGGUCGUGGUGAGGGUAGUGGGUAAAGAAGCGCCGGCUAACUACGUG